ACACGACUACAUUAGAUACCCGGGUAGUCCAGGGUGUAAACGCUGCGGGCUUGGUGUUGGGGGUCCUUUGGGGGCGCCCAGUGCCGGAGAGAAGUUGUUAAGCCUGCUGCUUGGGGAGUACGUCCGCAAGGAUGAAACUUAAAGGAAUUGGCGGGGGAGCACCACAACGGGUGGAGCUUGCGGUUUAAUUGGAUUCAACGCCGGAAAUCUUACCGGGACCGACAGCAACAUGAAGGCCAGGCUGAAGACUUUGCCGGAUUAGCUG
rnacentral:rRNA from 1 species